UGGCGGCGUGCGGUCGGCUGUUCCCGGGCGGGCUGUUGCGUCAGGGCGCCGGGCUCUGCGUCGGCCACACGAGUGUUAAAUGUCACGGAAUCGUUUUCGGUUGGAAAAGUUCCCUAAGAACACCAGGUCCAGUCUUUUACCUUGUCUACUGCUACCAAACUGUGUCCCCAGGCACCACAUCUUCUUGUCUUUUAUAUAUGUGCAAGAAUGGUUGAAUUCUUUGCUUCCCUGGACAGUGUCUCAGCCUUUUCAGUGAAUAAUUUAGUAUCCAACCUGCCACAACUUGAGGCUGUUUCCUCUCGUCCCAUCACUUAAUGCCUGGGGAAGAGGUUGACCCACUUCGUCACAAUCUCCUUUUAGGCAGUUGUAGAGGGAGGGCAGGGACUCCCAUGAGCCUCCUUCUCUUUAUACUGAGUAAUCCCAUCCUCUUUAUGACUUGUGAGGCUGAAGGGGUGGGCCCCGAUCUGCAGACACGGGGAGAAACACUGGAGGUGCGCAGUCCUGGAGCGGUGCCUUCCAGCAGUGAAUCCAAGGAGCUUGAGCAUCCUGCUCCAGGGAGAGACAGCACUGGCCGAUGUGCUUGUCCAUCUUCUCCAGCACAUGCUGUUACCUUUACAAAGUUAAAACAGGCUCGACAGGAGGAAUCAAAGAUGACCCCACUGGUACAUAUUCAUUUUUGUCUGUGGCUGGUUGGGCUGAGCAGGAGAGAACUGCUCUCCAGUUCCCCAGUGGAGACAGGCUGGCCUCCCCUGUGGCUCCACCAGGAUUGGGCAGCUCUGCAUGGCACCCACUUCAUGACCCUCUGGCUCAGACAGAAUGACUCCUUACCUGUCUUCUGAAGCCUGUGGAUUUCAUCCUCGGCAUGGCAGAAGAAACCAGAGUGUCUGUCUGAGGAUUUCACAGGGCAGUGGCACACAGAAUCCAAGUCUUGAAGUCUCUGAUAAAUUGGCAGUUAUGGAUUAAAACGGUAUGGUAGAAGCUUUAGGAUAUUUCUACCCUCCCCCACUCUGAAGCAGGAAUUAUCUGCCUACAGCUACCUCUCAGACCUCUUCUGGUUUUGUUUUAAACACAUUGGCUUUAUUUCAGGAGGCAUCCCAAUAUUGGCUGAUAUCUGAGACAGCUUAAAAGCAGAUUCAUGCUCACCUAAAAAAUGGCAAUUGGAAGCCUGUCACCAGGGACCAAACACCAAAGAUACCUAGCAAUAGCAAGUUAAUUCAACCUAGCAGAACAGACAAGGAUGAUGUCUUGUGAUGAAUAAGGAAAUCUGAAACAACUCCUGAUCUCGAAAAUAAGUUGUCACGAGCAGAUGAGGUCAUUUUCUGUUCUUUUUGGAAGGGGACAGUGGGCUUGAAUCAUUUCAUGAGUAAAGAAGACAGAAGACAACGUGCUUACGUGGAGCUCCCAAGAAUGAUUGCCUUGGCCUUGGUAACAAAGUACCACCAGCAUUAAUUAAACUUCACUCUCCUAAGAAGUGCUGAUGAACCAUAGUGAUGCUAACAAUUCAUUUCUUCAGAAACACAUGGAGAUCAGCUGCAGUAAGACUCUAGAAAGCUGCAAAGAACAGGUGUGAAGAUAUUCAUAGCUGCUCCUGUGCCAGGAUCUAGCCAUUGUGGAAUCAGGAGAAAAGAGAUUAUUGAGAAAGUUGUGAUCCUUGUCACCUUCUCAUAUACAUCACGUACACUGCUGCAGAGUCACCACUUUGUCUUCUCGACAGCAAGCAUUUGAGAGCCUGUACUCACAAAGAUAUAUUAUGUUGGUUUUCAAGUUAUUUAUUUAUUUUUUAAUAAACGUGUUUAUG
ensembl:lncRNA